AAGGCAUAUCGAUCGAUUUGCCUAGACACGAUCAAAUGAUACGCUUGAGUCCCAUGGUGUUUACAAAGAUGAAAAAGCUCAGAUUAUUUAUAAACCGCAAUGCACGCUUUUGUGGCAAAUUGAAUUCUCUCCAAUGAGUUAAGAGUUAUUCAUUGGCCUCAUUAUCCUUUACAUUCUCUGCCAUCUAAUUUUCAUGGAGAGAAACUUGUUGCUUUUAGGAUGCCCAGAAGUUUGAUUAAGAAGAUAGAUGAGGGCUUAUUCUUUAAGAACUUUAUGGCUAUAGAUUUCCAUGGUUGUGAAUUGUUAA